UACCAAAGAGUCAAAUUAUAUUUAUUGGUUAAAAGGUAGUUAGAUAUAUUUAUAGCUUUAAAAUUUUAUUAUAUAUAGGUAAAAUUUGUUUAUAAUUUAAUAUACUAAAGAAAGCUAAUUUGUUGAAGCUACGAAAUCUUUGAAAUAAACUGGGAUUGGAUACCCCACUAUUCUUAGAUUUAAACUUAAUUAGGUUUACCAGAGUACUAUGAACUAGGUUUAAAACUCAAAGAACUUGGCGGUGCUUUAUACCCUUUAGGGGAACCUGUCUCGUAAUCGACAAUCCACGUAGUACCUUACCUCCUUUUGUAAUCAGUUUGUAUACCGUUGUCGUCAGGUAACUCUUUAAGACUAAUAAGUUAGCUAAAAAGUAAUUUUACUUAUACGUCAAAUCAAGGUGCAACCUAUAAGGAGGAGAAGAUGGGUUACAAUUAAUAUUUAUAAUUACGGAUUUAUUAUAGUAAAUAGUAAUGAAGGAGGACUUAAAAGUAAAGUAUUAUAUAUAAAUUACUUGAAUAAGGCUCUUAAGCGCGC
rnacentral:rRNA from 1 species